rnacentral:rRNA from 1 species
GGGGACAACAGUUGGAAACGACUGCUAAUACCGCAUAAGCCCACGGGUCGGCAUCGACCUGAGGGAAAAGGAGCAAUCCGCUUUGAGAUGGCCUCGCGUCCGAUUAGCUAGUUGGUGAGGUAACGGCCCACCAAGGCGACGAUCGGUAGCCGGACUGAGAGGUUGAACGGCCACAUUGGGACUGAGACACGGCCCAGACUCCUACGGGAGGCAGCAGUGGGGAAUAUUGCACAAUGGGGGAAACCCUGAUGCAGCGACGCCGCGUGGAGGAAGAAGGUCUUCGGAUUGUAAACUCCUGUUGUUGAGGAAGAUAAUGACGGUACUCAACAAGGAAGUGACGGCUAACUACGUGCCAGCAGCCGCGGUAAAACGUAGGUCACAAGCGUUGUCCGGAAUUACUGGGUGUAAAGGGAGCGCAGGCGGGAAGACAAGUUGGAAGUGAAAUCUAUGGGCUCAACCCAUAAACUGCUUUCAAAACUGUUUUUCUUGAGUAGUGCAGAGGUAGGCGGAAUUCCCGGUGUAGCGGUGGAAUGCGUAGAUAUCGGGAGGAACACCAGUGGCGAAGGCGGCCUACUGGGCACCAACUGACGCUGAGGCUCGAAAGUGUGGGUAGCAAACAGGAUUAGAUACCCUGGUAGUCCACACCGUAAACGAUGAUUACUAGGUGUUGGAGGAUUGACCCCUUCAGUGCCGCAGUUAACACAAUAAGUAAUCCACCUGGGGAGUA